AGUGAACGCUGGCGGUAGGCCUAACACAUGCAAGUCGAACGGCAGCACAGUAAGAGCUUGCUCUUACGGGUGGCGAGUGGCGGACGGGUGAGGAAUACAUCGGAAUCUACUUUUUCGUGGGGGAUAACGUAGGGAAACUUACGCUAAUACCGCAUACGACCUACGGGUGAAAGCAGGGGAUCUUCGGACCUUGCGCGAUUGAAUGAGCCGAUGUCGGAUUAGCUGGUUGGCGGGGUAAAGGCCCACCAAGGCGACGAUCCGUAGCUGGUCUGAGAGGAUGAUCAGCCACACUGGAACUGAGACACGGUCCAGACUCCUACGGGAGGCAGCAGUGGGGAAUAUUGGACAAUGGGCGCAAGCCUGAUCCAGCCAUACCGCGUGGGUGAAGAAGGCCUUCGGGUUGUAAAGCCCUUUUGUUGGGAAAGAAAAGCAGCAGGUUAAUACCCCGCUGUUCUGACGUUACCCAAAGAAUAAGCACCGGCUAACUUCGUG
rnacentral:rRNA from 1 species